AGUGGGGGAUAACGUAGCGAAAGUUACGCUAAUACCGCAUAUGCCCUGAGGGGGAAAGGAGGGGAUCGUAAGACCUUUCGCUUUCGGAGUGGCCGAUAUCAGAUUAGCUAGUUGGUGGGGUAAAGGCCUACCAAGGCGACGAUCUGUAGCGGGUCUGAGAGGAUGAUCCGCCACACUGGGACUGAGACACGGCCCAGACUCCUACGGGAGGCAGCAGUGGGGAAUUUUGGACAAUGGGGGCAACCCUGAUCCAGCCGUGCCGCGUGAGUGAGGAAGGCCUUCGGGUUGUAAAGCUCUUUCGGACGGAAAGAAAUCCUAUUCGCUAAUACCGGGUGGGGAUGACGGUACCGUAAGAAGAAGCACCGGCUAACUACGUGCCAGCAGCCGCGGUAAUACGUAGGGUGCGAGCGUUAAUCGGAAUUACUGGGCGUAAAGCGUGCGCAGGCGGUUUUGUAAGACAGAUGUGAAAUCCCCGGGCUUAACCUGGGAACUGCAUUUGUGACUGCAAGGCUAGAGUGCGGCAGAGGGGGGUAGAAUUCCA
rnacentral:rRNA from 1 species